UGUAUUUUGUUUGGAUUGUUCAACUACAAGCUUGAUUCUCACUGUUUCUACUACUGUUUUUAGUCUGUAGAUUCUCUAAACUGUUUUUUUCAAAACAAAAAGAAAUAGUAAUCAACUAAACUUUUAGUCUAAAGUUUACAAAAUGGAAAUGUGCUGUGAACUUAACAAUCUACGUGAAAUGGUGGUUCAAUCUAUAAGUCAAGAAUGUAGAGUUCUGCUGUUACACCUACUAUUAUGUUGUAAGUACUCAAAAUUUCAGGAAGUUCUGUUGCUGCAAGUUAUUUUCAUUCAAAUUUGAAUUUUAGUUUUAUUAAAGAAUCUUCUGUCUGUUAAAUAGGUGAUUCUGAAUGAUUUAUUUCAAUGCCCUUACGCAGUGAUUUACUAAUCGGUUUGUAAAUAAAGCAAUAGUUUUAAACAGAUGAAUUAAUUGGAUUCCACGAUCCUUUAUGCAUAUAGCAUGAAGUUUUAUAAUAUAACCUAAAUUUUUUUCUUUUUUUUUCUAAAAGAUUUAAAUCUAAAUUCAUUUUUA